rnacentral:rRNA from 1 species
CAGCCGCCACGGGAAUACGAAGGGUGCAAGCGUUACUCGGAAUUUCUGGGCGUAAAGCGUGCGUAGGUGGUGGUUUAAGUCCGUUGUGAGAGCCUGGGGCUCAACUCCAGAAUUGCCUUUAAGACUGCAUCGCUUGAACGUCGGAGAGGUGAGUGGAAUUCCGAGUGUAGAGGUGAAAUUCGUAGAUAUUCGGAAGAACACCGGUGGCGAAGGCGGCGACCUGGUCCAUUACUGACGCUGAGGCGCGAAAGCGUGGGGAGCAAACAGGAUUAGAUACCCCAGUAGUCCCUGUCUCUUAUAC